rnacentral:lncRNA from 1 species
ACGUUCAUUAUCAUGUUAGAUUUACGAGGGUAGGUACUCAAGGGGGUGUGGUCACGCUGAGUGGCAGAUGCCACCGAUCCUUAAACAAAUACACUACAACGCUACUGCAGUGAACAGUGUUGGCAUCCGCGUCACAUUCGCUUCACUUGGUCGAAAAAUAAGCCGGUGUUCUGACUGAUGGGACAUUUGUGGUUUCACAUUUUGUCCUGACUGCGAAGUUUCUCAUUACUGAAAGCUCCAUAAAACUGGAUGCACAGCUCUGGUCCACGCAGAAAAGCGAGAUGAGGAGGAGGAAUGAGAGAAGAGGAGAUUUACGUAGAGGUUCGAGGAUCAGACGUCAUCCACCACAUCACAAUGACGGCAGGCUCCACGGCAACCAGCAAUUUUAAGCGACUGAGAAAGUCACAGAGGGAAAAUAGAGACAUAAUUUGAAUACAUUUUCAGCCACUUCUGUUACUCUAGUGUCAGAAAAUAGGUUGUAUUGAUGUAACGCGUGCAGGUAUUAUGCUCUUAGUAUUCUCACUCUAAACAAGACAUGAAAGGAAGUAAACUGUCAUACAGGAAGUAAGAGAGAAUGAGGACUGGACUGUUUGUUCCUUUUAGACGUCUGAUUCUGUAACUGUUACUGAAAUCUCUCCACUCCAUUUGCUAGUCUGCCACA